AACGAACGCUGGCGGCGUGCCUAAUACAUGCAAGUCGAACGUGAAGUGUAGCAAUACAUGGAAAGUGGCGAACGGGUGAGUAACACGUAAGUAAUCUACCUUUAAGUUUGGGAUAACCUUGCCAACGCGGGGCUAAUACCGGAUGUGAUCAGUUGAGCGCAUGUUUAGUUGAUCAAAGGAGCAAUUCGCUUAAAGAUGAGCUUGCGGCCCAUUAGUUAGUUGGCGGGGUAACGGCCCACCAAGACCGCGAUGGGUAGCCGGCCUGAGAGGGUGUACGGCCACAUUGGGACUGAGAUACGGCCCAGACUCCUACGGGAGGCUG
rnacentral:rRNA from 1 species